rnacentral:misc_RNA from 1 species
AACUUUUGACAACGGAUCACGCAUCGAUGAAGAACGCAGCGAAAUGCGAUAAGUAAUGUGAAUUGCAGAAUUCAGUGAAUCAUCGAAUCUUUGAACGCACCUUGCACCCUUUGGCAUUCCGAAGGGUAUGCUCGUUUGAGUGUCAUUGUACUCUCACACUCCCGAUGCUUUUGGAUUGGGAGUGGUGGACUUGGGUGUUGCUGCUUUACUGUGGCUCACCUCAAAUGGAGUAGUGCAACUCUUGGUUGGACAUAGUACGGCGUGAUAAGUGUCUUCGCCGGCGCCUCAUUAGAGGGUGGCCGAUCGGGAGCUCUGUGCUUCAAACCGUCUUCGGACAACAUCUGACAACUUGACCUCAAAUCGAGUAGGACUACCCGCUGAACUUAAGCAUAUCAAUAAGCGGAGGCU